GAAUGUUUUCGGAACCGAAAACAUUUCCAUUCCAUGAAUAUACAGGCGGUCUGUGAUGUCAAAAUGAAAUUUUUGUGGGAUUUCCUGGAUCGUCUCACGACUCCUUCAUCCUAAGUCAGUCAUCGCUGUUUGACAAUUUCGAAACGGGAAACAUGCCGGGUGGCUGGCUGUUAGGUAUUUAUUUUAAUUGUGUUUAUUUUAUUUUUAUUUUUUAUAUUUCCCACCAUUUUUUUCAUUUCCAUAGGCGAUGCGGGUUAUCCCAACAAAUCGUGGCUCUUGACCCCAUUGUCUAAUCCUGUUGGUAGAGCAGAAAAACGUUACCAAGAGACACACAAAGCAUCGAGGCAAGUAAUUGAGCGAGCCUUCGGUGUACUUAAAAGCCGGUUUAGAUGUUUAGACACUUCCGGUGGUGCUCUUUUGUACUCACCCGCGAAGGUUUGCAGCAUGGUAAAUGCAUGUUGUAUUUUACACAACAUAUGUGUCGCAAACCGUUUGCCGGUGACUCUUCGUCGCAGUGCUUUCCGACGCGGGAACCGUUCUUCUGCUCUACCGGUGGGUAUGGACGAAGGAGAUGAUUCCCGACGGACAUUGAUCCAAAGCUUUUUCUCCACUGCCUAGUUUUACGUCCUGUUGACGCACCUUCCCAGGCCUGUUUUCAAAGUUUCGUCCUGUUGACGACCUGUUACCCCCUGUUUUUUCCUGUUGGGUUGCUGCAAAUAUUGGACCCGUUUAUCCAUCUCUACCAUGGGCGACCUACUUGUGAUGUGGACCUGAACCUCCGCCAUGUAGCAGACAACCCCCCUCAGGUCUUGCGGAGUAUCCUUCCAAAGUUGCUUGAAUCAUCAUCGAUGAAUAGGGACAAGACAGUUCCCCUGCUGUACCAUGGGCGACCUAACACAAUACCUCUGCAUCUCGUAUAUUACAUUUUAUUUACUAAUAAUUUAAAGAAAAACCACACAAAACUUCUCAUUUUAA